GCACACAUCACUUGCUAAUCAGGGUGUGUGCUGGGCCCAGGGAAAAAAGGCUUGGCCUCAUAGAAGCGGCAAAGGGCUCCUGGGGCAUCUGCAGCCUCCCCGGCCAACAAAAAAGUGGGGGCAGGGAGAGAUGGAGCCGCAAGUUGAGAAGUGUCACAAAGCUGGGAAUGAGGAAAGAGAUCAGGUGCUGGCAGACGCCAGACCCAGAAGAUGCUGUGUAGUCGAGGCUCCAGGUUCCAUGCCAAGGGGCUGGAUUCUCCCUGGUAGUAAAUCAUCUCUCACUCUCUCCUCCAAAUGACUGUACCGCUGGUGACGCCACUCGGCGAGCGCAAGUGGAUAAAUAGAAACGUCUGCCACAGCGAAGAUGAAAGGAAACCCGCAGCUAAUGGCUCGGCAGUGAUGCGCCAGGUGUGGGCCUCGCUCGAUUGGGGAGGAGAGUGUGAAAACAGACAGAGAGACACACACACUGAGAGAGGGAGACACCCAGGCAGAGGGGAUGCAAAUGGAAUGCCGCAGAAAGAAAAGAGAGCUUAACGCGCGCGGCGAGUUCCGCAGGGGCAGCGGGACUAGAUGGCCUUAAGUUUUCCACAGCCUGGCUUCAUCUUGAGAUGGCUAUUCGUACAAGAAGUCGCUUUCCCGUUUGCCUGGACCUCGCCUGCACUCCAGGUAUGUUGGGUGGGGAGAGUUUCUAAGAGUUGUCUUUUUUUUUCCUUGCCCAUAUUUUAAAGUAUUCGUUCAGAAUCAACGAAUUCUCCUGGAAAGAGAUUUUUCGAAUGAAGAGGCGCCAGGAAUGCGGCCCCUGCUGUGGCAGUACUGGAGGCCCCUACCUGGGAGAAGGCAGUAGCUUUCACCGCGCUAUUUUGGGCAGGGAUUCAGCCUCCCUGAGUACAAAAAGGUUGGGGUUCAUAGAGGUUUGACUCAUAAGGUCCUCUCCCAAGUCCCUGCCUAGGGGCAGUGGUACCUGUCUCCAAAAGUGGAUGGCGUUUGAGGUAGAAGAGAGUGAAGUCGCUGAAAAUGCCCUAAAACAGCAAGUAAGUAGGGGCUCUGAUGAAGGGCUGGAGGUGGGAGCAGGGGUUGUUGAACUUGAUAUCUGGGAGCUGCCAUAGGCCUCUCUUGGCUCCUCUCCCAGGGAAGAAGCUGGUAUAAAACUCCUUCAAACUUACCCUUUUUGAGCUCCAAGCAAGUGUGCUGGGGCCAGGUGGGUGGGCUGAGUCAUUCCCCACAUUGCUGAGGGCAGGAGGUGGGCACCUUCUAUGCUCAACCCCCCUUUCUCCGCCUCCUCCCGAAGAGCUUCUAGCCCUAGGCAGCCAGCUGCAAAGGGCAGCCCAGCACCUCCCUCCUUUCUGUGUCCCUAGCAAUGCCCCAGCUUUUACAGGUAAGUCCUCUUCCGUGACCUUUUUGUCUGUUAUCUCCUACUUUUCUCUCCUCCUUUUUCUCUUUCUGUAUUCUUCUCCCUCUUUGCUUCUCUCCUCCAUCUUCCUAUCCAUAGGGUUAAGGAAGGUAGAGGAAGUAAGGGGUCCAAAGAAAGACAAAGUUUCCUCUUCACUCCGGCUUUCCACUUCUCUUUCAGUCUAAGACGAUGUUCAUUAAUCUUGCCUGGGGGCGGAGGCAGCGGGAUCCGGAAGGUAGUGUCCACAUAGAUAUUUCUACUCCUUGGGACUCCUGAAGCCACUAUGUGCUGAGCACUGCUAGCCCCAAAAUCCAGGGAAAUGUUUUAGAGGUGAGAGGAUCAAUUGGGAGUGAGGGGAGUCAAAUCCUAGAACCUUUUCCUGCCUUGGAGAGCUGUCCAGGUAUUCUAUCUUUCUCUGUCCUCCCUACCAGCAGCCACAGCCUGAGGGAGCACCUGGCUUGCUCUCUUUCCUGUCAAUGGCAAGCCCCCUGGGCAUCUGUCUUAGAGCUUCCACGGUUGCCUACUCUCUAUAGGGCCCUCCAGCACUGGGCCUUUGCGGUGCCCACCCUCCUCUCCUCCUUGAGCGCUUAACCUUCUAGUGAGUAGCCUGCUGCCCCCAUCUCCUGGGGGCUGGGUCCUCAGAGGGACUCCUGGCUCCCCACCCUGCCCCCAGCUCUGCAUUGAACGGGAAUCCUCUGUUUGAUCCGCUUUUCUUCUGGGUGAGAUGAAAGCCGAGUAGGAGUGAGAGAUCAAGGAGUGCCACUUAGUCUCCUUUCUGGGUCGGGCACUACGGAGCAGGGCUUACAUCCCGCGGAGAGGGCUGGAUGGAGCUGAGGACCAGCUUUUCAGAGGGAGGUUGCCUCCCUCGGGCUCCAGAUCUGAAGCUUCAGGGACACAUCCCCUCAGCCCAAAGCCUUCCCCAGCCCUCUCCCGACUUCUGCCCCGCUCUUUCAAAGCUGACUGUUUGGCCAGUCCUAGGAGCCUAGGGAACCACCCCCACCCCCGCCCCUUUCCACCGGCGCAUUAGGGGGAAAACGUUUUAACCAAAUGUCACUUCUUCCAAAAGCAUCCUUUCAUCAACCUCACAUUAACAGCGGUUGGGUUUUUAAAGGAAAGAAGACAAAAAAAGAGAGGACUGGAUAAGAACACUGUUUUGGUUUUUUGGGCGGUGAAUGUGGGGGGAGUAUUUAAUAACAUCGUUAUCACUGUGUCGUGAAGGUUAUUCGCGGCGCGGCUCGAGAAGGAAGGUAAAUUCCGAGAGCAAGUGAAGCCCUGCACAACCCCAUUAAGCCUGGGCAAUCCCAUGACAGCGGAGAGGGGGUGAUAGCAGCUGAGGUGGAGGCCGCUCCAGGCCCGUCGGCUUCUCAUUUCUCGCGGCGGGGGACACCCAUCCCCCACCUGCCACACGGCAGGCCCCCCGUCCCUUCCCCCGCUGGGGCGACGGGCUCCGGUCCAGCCGGCUCCUCUCGGAUUGAAAUUCUCCGGACUUCAAAAGCUCCCAGCUUGGCUUCCGCCGGGGCUGGGCUGGCCUGGCCCGGGUCGGAGGGGGGUGGGUGGGAACCCCGGGGAGGCGACGGAGAUAAGAUGCGCGGGUCGUUUUAAAUGGAAUCGGAAGCCGGGCCUAGGCCCCCAGACGCGCGGGUCAGCUGGAACAGCUUCGCUCCUGAAGAAAACCGGGCUCGGAAAAGCGGCGCGUGUGGGGCCUGCCUCCGCAGUCUGCCCGCCCGGCUCGGGGGAGAUGGCCCGCGGCCCCGAUCACCCUCCCCAGCCUGCAGCGGGCCUUUCAACGGCGACAGGGCCCCGAGAAGGGAGAGAGCGAGGAGUCCUGAGCCGGGGGGCCAGGAGCUGGCUUGUCGGCUCACGUGUCGGUGAAAAUGUGAUCAGGAAAAAAAUGUUUUCGCUUCUCUUUGGUUAAAAAGUAAGAACAAAGGGAGCUUCCUUCUAAACAAUAA